UACGGAAGGGGGCUAGCGUUGCUCGGAAUCACUGGGCGUAAAGGGUGCGUAGGCGGGGUUAUUAAGUCAGUGGUGAAAGCUCCAUGCCUAACAUGGAAAUUGCCAUUGAUACUGAUGAUCUUGAGUACAUUUGAAGUGGGCGGGAAUGUGUCAUGUAGCGGUGAAAUGCUUAGAUAUGACACAGAACACCGAUUGCGUAGGCAGCUCACUAAACUGUAACUGACGCUGAGGCACGAAAGCGUGGGGAGCAAACAGG
rnacentral:rRNA from 1 species